GUGGAUUAGUUACCCUAGUAGUCCACGCCGUAAACGAUGAGCACUAGGUGUAGGGGAGACCAUCCUCUGUGCCGCAGUUAACACAUUAAGUGCUCCGCCUGGGAAGUACGAUCGCAAGAUUAAAACUCAAAGGAAUUGACGGGGGCCCGCACAAGUAGCGGAGCAUGUGGUUUAAUUCGAAGCAACGCGAAGAACCUUACCAGGACUUGACAUCCUUAGAAUCCUGCAGAGAUGCGGGAGUGCCUUCGGGAACUAAGAGACAGGUGGUGCAUGGUCGUCAGCU
rnacentral:rRNA from 1 species